rnacentral:rRNA from 1 species
UACGUAGGGGGCUAGCGUUGUCCGGAAUCAUUGGGCGUAAAGCGCGUGUAGGCGGUCCGGUAAGUCCGCUGUGAAAGUCGGGGGCUCAACCCUCGAAUGCCGGUGGAUACUGUCGGGCUAGAGUACGGAAGAGGCGAGUGGAAUUCCUGGUGUAGCGGUGGAAUGCGCAGAUAUCAGGAGGAACACCAAUAGCGAAGGCAGCUCGCUGGGACGGUAUUGACGCUAAGGCGCGAAAGCGUGGGGAGCAAACAGG